UGUGUGUGUGUGUGUGUGUUCAAGGAGACGCCGCCUUGAGCGUGAACAUUAACCAAAUCCAUGUGCUUAACUUUCUUAGCUACACAGUCAUCUUCCACCAGAGGUACAAAUUCUUUCUCUAAAGAAAGCUUGUGACCUUAAUUGUGCUUUUCUAAAUUUGAACUAUUUUGUUUACUCAUAAUGGAAUGAGGAUGAAUUAUCCAUAGUUGGAUACUCUUUCUAGACUUAUAGAAGAGAGUUUUCUCUAAAAGCUUGUUAAGUUUUUCUCGAAUCUUUACCGGGCAAAUCUUCUCCGGUGGGCUUCCCUUGCCCUUUUGAGCAUGGGAAGGCUUUCGGUUUGGCUCAUUUGUGGGCUUCCCUCUCCUCCUCGAGCUCGGUUGUCUAUAGCUUCUGAGUUUGAUUUUGUUUGUAGAUCUUUAUUCGUCAUGGUGAGGAAGACUUUUCAAAGAUCUAGUUUUUAGGGAACUUUGCUAGGAGCUCCAGUUUGGGUAGUUAGUUUACUUGGUAUGAAUUUUCUUGCUUUGCUCGAUGGGAGGGCCUUCCAUGCAGCAAUGAUGGUAUCUUUAGGGACUUGAAGCUCAUUCUUCUCUAAUAGAAGUUCUCCCUCAAGGCUUCACGAGAUUGAGAUGGCAGUGAGCCAUACCCCAUUACCCUCUCAGAGCUUGAUUUGUUUAUAUGUUGUUGGAACUCGUAGGUUCAAUAUUGGUGGGUUUGAGCACUAAUGGUUGUGGAGUUUUGGUUGCUUCCAACACAUUUGCUCUGGUCAUCGAUUUAUUUUCAUCCUCAUUAGUGGUCUUUCUCAAUACAAGUUGAAGAUGACAAUGCUGGCAUGGCUAAAUGGUUUGGUUUGCCGUGUGCCUAAGGUUUCUAGGUUGGGGUGUGCUAGGCUUAUUUUCUUUGACUAGGUUAUCUUGGUGUUGAGCAGGAUGUUAGGUUUACAGACUUUCUUUGAUGUAAUUUGAGCCAGUUUGUAUGAUUUGCCUUUAAA
rnacentral:misc_RNA from 1 species